GCCGACACGAAAGAGCGGGAGUCAGUCUCACUGACUCCCGCUCUUUCUCACUCUCUCUCACUGCUCGCGACA
rnacentral:tRNA from 1 species